rnacentral:rRNA from 1 species
GACGUAGGAUGCAAGCGUUGUCCGGAAUUAUUGGGCGUAAAGAGUUCGUAGGCGGUUUAUCAAGUCUGGUGUCAAAGCCCGAGGCUCAACCUCGGAUCGGCACUGGAUACUGGUAGACUUGAGUGCAGUAGAGGCAAGGGGAAUUCCCAGUGUAGCGGUGAAAUGCGUAGAUAUUGGGAGGAACACCAGUGGCGUAAGCGCCUUGCUGGGCUGUUACUGACGCUGAGGAACGAAAGCCAGGGGAGCAAAUGGG